UUACAAGUCUCUCAAGAUGCAUUGCAAAAAUUGUUGGACUCAAAACACAUUUUGACACAACAUGUGGAGGAUCUUAAGCAUCAAUUGGCUUCCUGUGAAGCUGUUUUGCAGAACAUCACUCAACAGGAGGCACAAAUUUUACAUACUCGGGCUGCUUUAAGUGAUCCUAUUGGCUAUUAGACUAUUUUAUUCCUUGCAUUCGCUCAAGUUGUUCCCUGCUUUGAAUAUUAUGUAUUGCUUGAGUAGUUUUCGGUUUCU
rnacentral:lncRNA from 1 species